UACGAGGGGGGGCGAGCGUUGUUCGGAAUUACUGGGCGUAAAGCGUGCGCAGGCGGUUCGUUGUGUCGGCGGUGAAAGCCCCGGGCUUAACCUGGGAAUGGCCGUUGAAACUGGCGAACUGGAGUGUGGCAGAGGGGGGUGGAAUUCCGCGUGUAGCAGUGAAAUGCGUAGAGAUGCGGAGGAACACCGAUGGCGAAGGCAGCCCCCUGGGCUGACACUGACGCUCAGGCACGAAAGCGUGGGGAGCAAACAGG
rnacentral:rRNA from 1 species